rnacentral:rRNA from 1 species
UACGUAGGGGGCAAGCGUUGUCCGGAAUCAUUGGGCGUAAAGAGCGUGUAGGCGGCUUGGUAAGUCCGCUGUGAAAGUCCAGGGCUCAACCCUGGAAUGCCGGUGGAAACUGUCAAGCUUGAGUCCGGAAGAGGCGAGUGGAAUUCCUGGUGUAGCGGUGAAAUGCGCAGAUAUCAGGAGGAACACCAAUGGCGAAGGCAGCUCGCUGGGACGGUACUGACACUGAGACGCGAAAGCGUGGGGAGCAAACAGG